UUGAAGGAAGAGUCGUUUAAAGCAGAGGCGACGAGUGUAGAGAGAACCACCUUGCGUUCUCUUCUGAUAGAGGCCUCUGUCCGGGCUGUGGAACUGGAGAAAAGACUGAGUGACAGGGGGAGAGUUGGGAAUGUCAUAGAGGUGUUGAGGAAGGAGAGCUUGGACCUACGCCACCUUACUACCAGCCAGGAGCAGCGACCGGAGCAGUGUCAAAGAUCAGCACUGCAGAGCCAGGCUGAACUAGAUCCCGAGAGGCCAUCCUCAGCCUGCUGUAUCUUAGGGGUAACAUUGUGGGUACACAUGAAGUACGCAAAGUAUCUUUGUAUCCUGCAACACCACCCAGACAGAAUACCAGCUACAGAAACUACACACACAGCUGCAGGAGAGGACUGUACGCAUCAACCAGCUGGAGAGAGGGGAGAAGAGCAGCAGUCUCCGGCACUUUAAAACUACUCUGGACUUGAAUAAGAGGGACACCCAUAGGCGUUGGAGUCUCAGAGAGCUGGAUCGGAGCAAUCUAAGGAGCUAGAGGAUCAAAUCUAAAUGGUGUGGUUUUUGGAGACGGAUGAGUUGAGUAGCUGUGUGCAGCAGAUACAGGGAGUGAAGGGACGCUAUGAGAGAGUGAGCUGGAGACACGAGCCAAAGAGGCAGUUAACGGAGGACAUGAAUAAGGUUCAGGGUGAGCUGAGUGAGCGAGAGCAGCAGAUGCUGCGUAUACGGAGAGACAGCGUCACGAAGGCCUUCCAGCUCUCCAAGAUGGAGAAGAUGCUAGCCGAGACCAGAGGAAAGCUGGACAAGAAGCCUGAGCCUGGUACGGAAAGUAAAGGACGGGACACCCGGGACGACAUGGUCCAGGACCUGGAGGAUAAGGUGCGUUUCACCAGGAGAGACAGGAGGAACUCCCUGCACCGCACCCAGCUGCUGGAGAGCCAGAUGAAGACUGUGAAGGGAGAGCUGGUGGACACACUGGACCACCUGCAGGAGCUGCGAGACAGGCUGAGACGCUCACAGGCUAACGCAGAGCAGCGCAAAGUUGACAUGGAGAAACUGCAAGCAGGGAUGAGGUGAGCCAACAACAGUUCUGGCCCAAUGUGCCAGGGCAGAGGCUCCUUCAGUCUUCUCCUAUGCCCACAACUACUUGGUUCUUGGUACUUUUGCCUCCCUUGGUACCUGCUUCAUUCUUUUUCACCAAUGGGGCCAGAACACCUCAAUCUUGACGACAAAGCUGAAUCCUAAUACUUUUUAAAACUGUAACAAAUGUAUAUUGCCUCUUUACAGUUUGUAAUACUCCCAAAUCUUUGGAAAUACUUAUCUACUUUGUUUUUACUCCGUUUUCACUUCCCACAAACUGCUUUUGUGACUUGGUGGUUGUUAGGGAUUGAUAAACACUUGUAUUAUGUUAGCUCCUAUUCACAGCACUGUAUUUCCUUUCCGUGUUGUGUGGAAACUCAGAGCCAGAAUGUCAAUUACUGAAUAAAAACUGUGCUACAAUCCAACGGGAAGAAGCAAAAAAUAUAACUGUAGUUAACUGUUUUUAAGUUGUCUUAAAUUGAGAUAAACUUGUGCAUCACUGUGUUGCUUGUGGUGUUGUAUUGUCAAGGGUUGUCAAAGGUUACUAUGUACAUAAAUACAUUUUCCAGGUGACAAAACUGAACUUCUCUGAGACCAAUGAUGGCUGAUAAACAACACUGACCCCCCCCCCCCCCCCAUUGUCAUAUGUCACUUGGAGGCAGUGGUCAGUGAAACUGGUUCUGGGGUGUCUGUUGGUGCUGUUUCAAACGCACAUUUUGUGAAACCCAUGAAUAUGGUGUAACAAAGCUGAAGGUCAAGUAUCAGUGACCUCAUUACAUUCUUGCCUGCCCUCCAGUUCCUAUUCAUACAGUAUGAAAAGAAAACAGCUAGUAUCAUGUCUGUUUUAUUGGGGGAUUUUCCAUGCUGAAAUUAAGCAGUCCCUGUUUCAAUUGAAAAUAUUUUAGUGCCAAGAUGUAAGUUCAGCCAAGUUGUAGCACUACUUGUAUUAUAAGAUGAAAGGCACACAUUCAUUCAUUUUUUUUGUCAGACAGAUUAUAAAUGGGUGACUUGGCAACCUCUUCUGUUUCUGUGUCUUGUCACAUGGAUGUGACCACUGAACUGGACAAGUUGCUAUGGAAACUAUUGUAUUAUCAGCUAUUUCACCACAGUUACUUUGAGUACACUGCAGAGAGCUAUGGAAGCUACCUGCAAAAGCAGCAGUCUGCAAUGUAUUACAUGUGAAUUAAAAUGUAAACAUGAUGUUUUCACUGACUCAUUUUUGUCUAUACCAUACAGGUAGUGUUGUAUCACAACCAGGUUCUGAAUGAGGUUAUAUCCAUUUAUGGUGUUGUUUGGUACAUUCUAUGUACUUUCCCUCAAACUGCAGGGUAGCAUCGUUGCUACAUGAAUGGUUCCAGUGUUUCUAACAGCAGCAAGGAUUGUCUUUCUGUGUCCCAAAUGGCUCCCUAUUCCGUGUAUAUAGUGUACUACUUUGACCAAAGCCCUAUGGGCCUUGAUCCAAAGUAGUACAAUAUAUAGGGAAAAUGGUGCCAUUCAGCAUGCAGCAUCUGCCUGUUUUCCUGUUCCCUCAGGUGAGUGUCAGCUGAUUGUCUCUGAAGCAGCACUCAUGUUCUAACUCUUAGCCCCAUGGCAAAGAUGUGAUCAGACUAGAUGUAGCAAUGUUUUCCCCCACACAGACAGCAUCACAUGCUAGAAAGCUAUUGGCUAUUCUCUGUUGAUCAACACUUUUGGCCCCUACUGCCUGCCUGCCUGCCUGCCUCAACUAAAAGCCCUUCGGCUGCAGCAGAGCAACACACACAUUUCAUACCUGGUUUAUUAUUUAUUCAAAGAUAAUAAAA
rnacentral:lncRNA from 1 species